CUCAGCAUUUAGGCUGCUCAUCAUCAAUCCUGCCUGAUCUUAGAAGCUAAGCAGGNUCAGCCCUGGNCAGUAUCUGGAUGGGAAACCACCUGGGAAUACUAGGUGCAGUUGGCU
rnacentral:rRNA from 1 species